rnacentral:lncRNA from 1 species
AUAUCCCAAUUAGUGAUUCCAUCUUGAAUAUAGCGAUUAACAAUUAUUGCCUAAUGCAUUAUUCUGACUGCGGAUUUUCGGUGUUAGCCAUUUACUUGAAGAAGGGCAUUCCAUUUAAUGUUGUCACGUUUAGCACCUUACUAAGGGGACUCUUUGCGGAAAGUAAGAUAAAAGAUGCAGUUAACUUGUUCAAAAAGUUGGUGAGAGAGAAUAUUUGUGAGCCUGAUGAAGUCAUGUAUUCAAUUGUCAUGAAUGGGCUUAGCAAAAUGGGCCAUACUCAAAAAACAUUCGAUUUGCUUAGGGUAAUGGAACAAGGAAGCACUAAGCCCAACACAUACAUCUACAACAUUGUUAUAGAUGCUCUUUGCAAGGAUAGAAUGAUAGAUGAUGCAAUUAGCCUUUUUGAAGAGAUGAAACAAAAAGGCAUUCCUCCAGAUGUUAUCGCAUAUAGUUCAUUGAUUGAUGGUCUUUGUAAAUUUGGUCUAUGGGAGAAGGUUAAUACUUUGUUCUUCGAAAUGGUAAAUCUUAAUAUUUAUCCAGAUGUCCGCACCUUCAACAUACUGACAGAUGGUCUAUGCAAAGAAGGAAAAGUUGAAGAUGCUGAGGAGGUAAUGAGACACAUGAAUGGAAAAGGUGUGGAGCCUAAUGUGGUCACCUACAAUGUGAUAAUUGAUGGAUAUUGCUUGCGCGGUCAAAUGGAUAGAGCAAGAAGCCUUUUUGAUUCCAUGAUUGAUAAUAGCAUUAAGCCUAACAUUAUUAGCUAUAAUAUAUUAAUAAAUGGAUACUGUAAGAAAAAGAAAUUGGAUGAGGCCAUGCAUUUGUUUCAUGAAAUUUCUCGAAACGGAUUGAAAUUUAGCAUUGUUACCUACAAUACUAUCUUUCGGGGUCUAUUUGAAGUUGGAAGAACUGACAUUGUGCAAAAAUUCUUUGCUGAUAUGCUUUCUAUGGGGCUCAUACCCGAUUUAUGCACUAAUCGCAUUUUGCUCCGUGGUUAUUUUCAGAAUGAACUUGUUGAAAAAGCUAUGUCUCUAUUUCAUGAGUUGGAAAAAAAGAGAGAAGAUAUUGAUAUUGAACUUUACACUGUUAUUAUUGACGGAUUGUGCAAAAAUGGUCAGCUCGACAAAGCUCAUGCUAUUUUUGAGAAGCUUUCUGCUUCGGCAAUUGCAAUCAGAUAUUAUUCUUCAUCUCAUAGCAAUACUGAGAAUGUCAAGUGUGUAGAUGAUGCUCUGACUCUCUUUCGUCGAAUGGUCAGUACGCAGCCCCUUCCUUCUGUUUUUAGCUUCUCCAAAUUACUAAAGACUAUGGUAAAUAUGAAGCAUUACUCUUCUGUUGUUUCCCUUUUUCGACAAAUGCUGAAAUCGGGUAUCCCAAUUAAUGGUUUCAUCUUGAGUAUCGCGAUCAACAAUUAUUGCCUAAUGCAUCGUUCUGACUGCGGAUUUUCAGUGUUAGCCCUUUACUUGAAGAAGGGCAUUCCAUUCAAUGUUGUCACGUUUAGCACCUUACUAAGGGGACUCUUUGCGGAAAGUAAGAUAAAAGAUGCAGUUAACUUGUUCAAAAAGUUGGUGCGAGAGGAUAUUUGUGAGCCUAACGAAUACAUGUAUUCCACAGUCAUGAAUGGGCUUAGCAAAAGAGGUCAUACUCAAAA